rnacentral:rRNA from 1 species
AGAGUUUGAUCAUGGCUCAGAUUGAACGCUGGCGGCAGGCCUAACACAUGCAAGUCGAGCGGUAGCACAGAGAGCUUGCUCUCGGGUGACGAGCGGCGGACGGGUGAGUAAUGUCUGGGAAACUGCCUGAUGGAGGGGGAUAACUACUGGAAACGGUAGCUAAUACCGCAUAACGUCGCAAGACCAAAGUGGGGGACCUUCGGGCCUCAUGCCAUCAGAUGUGCCCAGAUGGGAUUAGCUAGUAGGUGGGGUAACGGCUCACCUAGGCGACGAUCCCUAGCUGGUCUGAGAGGAUGACCAGCCACACUGGAACUGAGACACGGUCCAGACUCCUACGGGAGGCAGCAGUGGGGAAUAUUGCACAAUGGGCGCAAGCCUGAUGCAGCCAUGCCGCGUGUGUGAAGAAGGCCUUCGGGUUGUAAAGCACUUUCAGCGGGGAGGAAGGCGUUGAGGUUAAUAACCUUGUCGAUUGACGUUACCCGCAGAAGAAGCACCGGCUAACUCCGUGCCAGCAGCCGCGGUAAUACGGAGGGUGCAAGCGUUAAUCGGAAUUACUGGGCGUAAAGCGCACGCAGGCGGUCUGUCAAGUCGGAUGUGAAAUCCCCGGGCUUAACCUGGGAACUGCAUUCGAAACUGGCAGGCUAGAGUCUUGUAGAGGGGGGUAGAAUUCCAGGUGUAGCGGUGAAAUGCGUAGAGAUCUGGAGGAAUACCGGUGGCGAAGGCGGCCCCCUGGACAAAGACUGACGCUCAGGUGCGAAAGCGUGGGGAGCAAACAGGAUUAGAUACCCUGGUAGUCCACGCCGUAAACGAUGUCGAUUUGGAGGUUGUGCCCUUGAGGCGUGGCUUCCGGAGCUAACGCGUUAAAUCGACCGCCUGGGGAGUACGGCCGCAAGGUUAAAACUCAAAUGAAUUGACGGGGGCCCGCACAAGCGGUGGAGCAUGUGGUUUAAUUCGAUGCAACGCGAAGAACCUUACCUGGUCUUGACAUCCACAGAACUUUCCAGAGAUGGAUUGGUGCCUUCGGGAACUGUGAGACAGGUGCUGCAUGGCUGUCGUCAGCUCGUGUUGUGAAAUGUUGGGUUAAGUCCCGCAACGAGCGCAACCCUUAUCCUUUGUUGCCAGCGGUUAGGCCGGGAACUCAAAGGAGACUGCCAGUGAUAAACUGGAGGAAGGUGGGGAUGACGUCAAGUCAUCAUGGCCCUUACGACCAGGGCUACACACGUGCUACAAUGGCAUAUACAAAGAGAAGCGACCUCGCGAGAGCAAGCGGACCUCAUAAAGUAUGUCGUAGUCCGGAUUGGAGUCUGCAACUCGACUCCAUGAAGUCGGAAUCGCUAGUAAUCGUAGAUCAGAAUGCUACGGUGAAUACGUUCCCGGGCCUUGUACACACCGCCCGUCACACCAUGGGAGUGGGUUGCAAAAGAAGUAGGUAGCUUAACCUUCGGGAGGGCGCUUACCACUUUGUGAUUCAUGACUGGGGUGAAGUCGUAACAAGGUAACCGUAGGGGAACCUGCGGUUGGAUCACCU